GAUGUGUGUAAAUUGAGAUUGUA
rnacentral:siRNA from 1 species